AGCGAACGUUUGCGGCGGGCCUAACACAUGCAAGUCGAACGCACUAGCAAUAGUGAGUGGCGCACGGGUGCGUAACACGUGGGUAAUCAACCCUUCAGCUUGGGAUAACGACUUGAAAGGGUCGCUAAUACCGGAUACGGCGAGAGAGGCUUCGGCAUUUCUCGAGAAAGCCUCGCAAGGGGCACUGAAGGACGAGCCUGCGGCCCAUCAGCUAGUUGGUGAGGUAAGAGCUCACCAAGGCGAAGACGGGUAGCUGGUCUGAGAGGAUGAUCAGCCACACUGGAACUGAGACACGGUCCAGACUCCUACGGGAGGCAGCAGUGGGGAAUAUUGCGCAAUGGGCGAAAGCCUGACGCAGCCACGCCGCGUGAGCGAUGAAGGCCUUGGUCGUAAAGCUCUGUGGGGAGAGACGAAGAAAGACCCGUGAAGAGCGGGCCGUUGACGGUAGUCUCCUUAGCAAGCACCAGCUAACUCCGUGCCAGCAGCCGCG
rnacentral:rRNA from 1 species